rnacentral:tRNA from 1 species
GGGGUUCGGGCAGGUCGGCGAAACCCCCCGAUCUUGCAUGGCAUGCAAGGGGUCAGGGGUUCAAAUCCCCUCAGCUCCACCA